rnacentral:lncRNA from 1 species
CCAAAUCCAUUUUAAUUUUAAAUGAAAACGCACGCGGAAAAUCAUUACUAUAAAUAAAUAUUUAACAAGAAAAUAGUGAAAUAAAUUUUUAUUUAAACAUACUUUACUCAAAAUAACAUUUUAAAGUAAUGCUAAAUUCAAAAUAUUUGACUCGUCAUUCGACCUUCCACGCGCCUCCGGCCUUUAAAACCUGAAAAUGUUGAAUAUGGGAUGAGCAUACAGGGUACACUCAGUGUGGGAACAUGCAAUCAUUGUCCAAGAUAAUAACACAGUAAACACAUACGGUCACUUCAUAUAUAUCCUCAUUAUUCGCACUGUGGCAAUCCAAGGACUAUUAAAGUCCCGGACCCUAUUUACGGGCCCCUGGCGACAUCCUCAA